GCAAUGGACGAAAGUCUGACGGAGCAAUGCCGCGUGAGUGAUGAAGGUUUUCGGAUCGUAAAGCUCUGUUGCCAGGGAAGAACGCUUGGGAGAGUAACUGCUCUCAAGGUGACGGUACCUGAGAAGAAAGCCCCGGCUAACUACGUGCCAGCAGCCGCGGUAAUACGUAGGGGGCAAGCGUUGUCCGGAAUUAUUGGGCGUAAAGCGCGCGCAAGCGGUCAUUUAAGUCUGGUGUUUAAUCCUGGGGCUCAACCCCAGGUCGCACUGGAAACUGGAUGACUUGAGUGCAGAAGAGGAGAGUGGAAUUCCACGUGUAGCGGUGAAAUGCGUAGAUAUGUGGAGGAACACCAGUGGCGAAGGCGACUCUCUGGGCUGUAACUGACGCUGAGGCGCGAAAGCGUGGGGAGCAAUCAGGAUUAGAUACCCUGGUAGUCCACGCCGUAAACGAUGAGUGCUAGGUGUUAGGGGUUUCGAUACCCUUGGUGCCGAAGUUAACACAUUAAGCACUCCGCCUGGGGAGUACGGUCGCAAGACUGAAACUCAAAGGAAUUGACGGGGACCCGCACAAGCAGUGGAGUAUGUGGUUUAAUUCGAAGCAACGCGAAGAACCUUACCAGGUCUUGACAUCCCUCUGAAUCCACUAGAGAUAGUGGCGGCCUUCGGGACAGAGGAGACAGGUGGUGCAUGGUUGUCGUCAGCUCGUGUCGUGAGAUGUUGGGUUAAGUCCCGCAACGAGCGCAACCCUUAUGCUUAGUUGCCAGCACAUUAUGGUGGGCACUCUAAGCAGACUGCCGGUGACAAACCGGAGGAAGGUGGGGAUGACGUCAAAUCAUCAUGCCCCUUAUGACCUGGGCUACACACGUACUACAAUGGCCGGUACAACGGGCUGCGAAAUCGCGAGAUGGAGCCAAUCCCACCAAAGCCGGUCUCAGUUCGGAUUGCAGGCUGCAACCCGCCUGCAUGAAGUCGGUUUCUAGUAAUCGCGGAUCAGCAUGCCGCGGUGAAGAGAUCCCGGCCUUGUACACACCGC
rnacentral:rRNA from 1 species